GCGAGUGAAGCGGCAAUAGCUCAAAUUUGAAAGCUGGCGUCUUCGACGUCCGCGUUGUAAUUUGUAGAGGAUGCUUCGGCGAAGACUCCUGCCUAAGUCCCCUGGAACGGGGCGUCAUAGAGGGUGAGAAUCCCGUAUGUGGCGGGCAGUCUAAGCCAUGUGAAGCUCCUUCGACGAGUCGAGUUGUUUGGGAAUGCAGCUCUAAAUGGGAGGUAAAUUUCUUCUAAAGCUAAAUAUUGGCCAGAGACCGAUAGCGCACAAGUAGAGUGAUCGAAAGAUGAAAAGCACUUUGGAAAGAGAGUUAAAAAGUACGUGAAAUUGUUGAAAGGGAAGCGCUUGCAACCAGACUCGCUCGUAGUUGCUCAGCCGGCCUCUUGGCCGGUGUACUCUUCUACGAUCGGGCCAGCAUCAGUUCGGGCGGCAGGAUAAAGGUGUCGGGAAUGUAGCACCCUUCGGGGUGUGUUAUAGCCCGGCGCGGAAUGCUGCCAGCCUGGACUGAGGAUCUCGCUUCGGCAAGGAUGCUGGCGUAAUGGUUGUAAGCGGCCCGUCUUGAAACACGGACCAAGGAGUCUAACAUCUAUGCGAGUGUUUGGGUGUCAAACCCAUGCGCGUAAUGAAAGUGAACGGAGGUGGGAACCCCUCACGGGGUGCACCAUCGACCGAUCCUGAUGUCUUCGGAUGGAUUUGAGUAAGAGCAUAGCUGUUGGGACCCGAAAGAUGGUGAACUAUGCCUGAAUAGGGUGAAGCCAGAGGAAACUCUG
rnacentral:rRNA from 1 species